CGUGAUCACCCUCGCGCGCGGCGCAGAGUCGCUGUAAUGAAUGCUCGGGAACUUAUGGAGAGGAAGAAUAUGAUCCCAGUGAUUAAUGCCAAAGCCCUGUUGCCUGGGGAGAGGGUGAUGCUUGACUUUAUUGUACAGCUGCAGUUUGUGUGGUGAAGGUGCUCCCACAAUGUGGUUGGGAUGCUACAGGUGGACAUUCAGAUGGUAAUCUCAGUCAUUAUAACACCAAACUCUGAUUGAAUUAGUCAGUUCAUCAGGACUUGGAUAUUCGCAUUGUGUGGUGCUACAUGGUGAAGGUUUGCAGACUGAAAUCUCAAAAUCAUGUGCAGAUUGUGAUUAUGUUAACCAGCAUUUGAAGAACCAAAGAUAGAGAAUCACUCCGCCAAAAUCCUGCAACACUCCCUCACAGCAUUGUCGGUCUAUCUGCACCAAAUGGACUGUGAAUGGUUCAAGACAGCAGCUCACUACCAUCUUCUCAAGGGUAACUAGAGAUGGGGAAUAAAUGCUGGCUGAGCCAGUGAUGCCCAUAUCCUGGAAAUGGUUUCUAUCUCUAGUUGCUGAACCCCAGUUGAUGUUACUGCAGGAUGGUGAGGGACGCUGAGUGCAUCCUCCAGGAGGCAGCACCAUCACAUUACCCCCGCCUACACCCACACAGUAACACCGCCACGUCACUGGAACAAAAGGUAGUGAAGCCAAAGGAGGACUUAGAUAUAGUUCUUCGAGGUAAAGUCAUGAAAGGGGAUUGGAGCACAGCAGGAACAGGAGACUGAGCUGGAUGGUCAGCUGUUUCCCAUUGAAUGGUGGAGCAGGAUUGAAAGGCUGAAUGGUCUCCUCCUGCUGCUAUCUCCCAGGUAUGUAUAUAGCCAUGGAGCCCGGGUAGGAAGGAGUGGGCAGGGAUUCUCCAGGAGAUUGCACUUCCACAACAGGUUUCAGUGAGGGAAGGUUUGAUGGAUUUUAUUUAACAUUUAUCUUUAACACAAAGUUUGUAAAUUUUGGUUUUAAAAUGUUGUAAAAGUUUUUUGCAAAGCAAAUAAAAUUAAAGAAAAUAAAUUAAA